rnacentral:rRNA from 1 species
UACGUAGGGUGCAAGCGUUGUCCGGAAUUAUUGGGCGUAAAGAGCUCGUAGGCGGUUUGUCGCGUCUGCUGUGAAAACGCGAGGCUCAACCUCGCGCCUGCAGUGGGUACGGGCAGACUAGAGUGCGGUAGGGGAGAUUGGAAUUCCUGGUGUAGCGGUGGAAUGCGCAGAUAUCAGGAGGAACACCGAUGGCGAAGGCAGGAUCAUCUGGG